AGAGAAAAAAAAGGGGUGAUCUGAUAGUAGACAUCGCCCCCCAGUCUGGAGGUUGCAGAUCUAUGACUGAUCCUAACUUGGAAGAACAAUGAAGAAACCCAUUCAAGCUGUAUUCAUGUUCUUGUGGCUGCCACUGGACUGGGUGAGCCGUGGAGAGAACGUGGAGCAGCGUCCUUCUACUCUGCGUGUCCUGGAGGGAGACAGCUCUGUCAUCAACUGUUCUUAUUCUGACAGUGCCUCAAGCUACUUCCCUUGGUAUAAGCAAGAACCUGGAAAAGGUCCCCAGCUCAUUAUAGAUAUUCGUGAAAAUAGGGACAAAAACCACAACCAAAGACUCACUGUUUUUUUAGAUAAGACAGAGAAACUCUUCUCCCUGCACAUCGCGGCCACCCAACCUGGAGAUGCAGCCGUUUACUUCUGCGCGGCCAGUGCACAGUGCUUCCCGGGCACCUGCUGCCUGCACCCAAACCCAAGGCUGCAGCUGAAGCCCCGCCCCUGCCCUCUGUACAGGUCUUCAAAUGCAGCAUUUGUCAUAGUGUUUCUUUACAAGUGGAAACUGACACAUGGGCAAUAA